AAGUCUCCCGGCGAGCACUACUACCUCUGUACCAUAAUAGGUCACUGUACCUUGGGUCAGAAGUUGGCCAUCAAUGUCACGGCCGCCGCAUCUACUCCUCCUCCGGCACCUACACCUUCACCCUCCGCCACUCCUCCACCGGCAGCCGCAUCUACUCCUCCGCCGGCACCUACACCUUCACCCCCGGCCACUCCUCCACCGUCAGCCGCCCCUUCGCCCGUCGCCAGUCCUACACCGGCAGCAUCUGGUCCCUCCUCAUCUCCUUCUGCCACACCUCCGGCACCUUCCUCCGGCGCCACUCCUCCCGCCCCAGGCUCAAACACCACUCCAUCAUCACCAUCUCCGGCCAGCGUCACCGCUCCUCCUCCACCUAACUCGGCAGCAUCUUUUGCGGCCGCGGCCUUACCGGUUACAUUUUUAUCGGUUGUCAUAGCUUUGUUUUAUUGAUUAGAUAGAUAGAUGUCACAAUUUUUGUUUGUGAUACAUUUGGGUGUGAUUUUUGAUAUUAGUAUUCUACAGAUUGUUGUGUAAUU
rnacentral:lncRNA from 1 species